GAUGAACGCUGGCGGCGUGCCUAAUACAUGCCAGUCGAGCGAACAGAUGAGGAGCUUGCUCCUCUGACGUUAGCGGCGGACGGGUGAGUAACACGUGGAUAACCUACCUAUAAGACUGGGAUAACUUCGGGAAACCGGAGCUAAUACCGGAUAAUAUAUUGAACCGCAUGGUUCAAUAGUGAAAGACGGUUUUGCUGUCACUUAUAGAUGGAUCCGCGCCGCAUUAGCUAGUUGGUAAGGUAACGACUUACCAAGGCAACGAUGCGUAGCCGACCUGAGAGGGUGAUCGGCCACACUGGAACUGAGACACGGUCCAGACUCCUACGGGAGGCAGCAGUAGGGAAUCUUCCGCAAUGGGCGAAAGCUUGACGGAGCAACGCCGCGUGAGUGAUGAAGGUCUUCGGAUCGUAAAACUCUGUUAUUAGGGAAGAACAAAUGUGUAAGUAACUAUGCACGUCUUGACGGUACCUAAUCAGAAAGCCACGGCUAACUACGUG
rnacentral:rRNA from 1 species